AACGCGGUUUAAUAAAAUAUAAUUUAUUGAGCAAAGAAACAAACACAUCUAAACUAAAAUCUAAAAGGCUAAAUAGGGGAUGAUACGAAAAGGGGACUGGAGCAUUGCCUGUGUGUUGUCCAGCACGUGGUGCCGGAGAGAACUUUGUGAGCCAGGUUUUAACAUGUGAUGCUAACAUAUAGCCUGGUGAUUGGGCUACUGGAGUAAGUAACAUCUAGCUAAUCCCUGUACACCUUGACAUUCCAAUUUCUAAGUAAAUGGGACCAUAUAUCAAACAUAUUAGUGUGGGGGAGCUCGCAUGCACAGAUCUCGGUUUAAAGAAAGUCGGAUUGUCAUUUAAUGUUAGUAUAUAGCUACGUUAGCUAUGCGAGGCUGGGCAGUUGUGAUAUGCUUUAAACACAACAUUAAAUACAACCGAUAGCAUACUUCACUUGAAAAAUGAGCAAACACAAAUUUAGCCAAGCUACUGCCUGAAUGUCUGCCAGUCUUACUUCUGGAGUGCCGAUGGCCCUGCGUGGUGGAUCACGAGGCUUGCUGGUUCAAGGACAGUGGCUUGGGUGGAAUCUCAGGAUCUCGUCAUUCAAAGCCGCGUGGUUUUUCUUGUUUGCAUUACGGCGAAGGGAUUCUUCCGUACUUUCGGGGAGCCAUUACGGGAACUGGAAGCUGGUUCGUUGUCUCGGGAAGAGUGCCCUGACCAAGAGAAGCUGCAACAAGCAAAUAAUCUGACCUUGGAGCUUUCUUGAAUGUCAUUACUUCACAUCUGAUACUUCAAAGGUUGUUUCUUUACACAUGGGAUGCUGCUGAGCCGGUGAAAGAGCAGAGAGUUCCAACAAAGGGACUUCUUUAUACGGGUAUGUCCUUCUGUCAAGCUGAAUGGGUUUCAAAGGCCAAGAAUUUGAUGUAUGUGCAGCCACUCGCACUGGGGUCCACUGGACUGCCAGUGUCAACAGCCACGUGUCCAGUGAAUGUUUCUGUGUGUCCUACUCGGUGUGCAAGGAGAAAGUUCACCUGAAUUAUUAACAUCAACACAGAACGUCUGUGACAAGUCUGUGGAAUGAGUGCCUCGUUCAUCCCAGUGUGCGGCAUGUGCUCUAGACAUACAGCAUCAAGAGCUAUUAUUACCAGCUGCAUUUGUUUGCUAUAAUUAUGAUGCUAAAUAAGUGAAGUGUUCCCAGGUCAUAAUGGCGAACAGCCAGAAGCGCUGAUUUCUUCACAAUCUGUAGAGCAAGAGAUUUUGGGGGAAACCUUGGCUCUAACCAAGCACACAACAAUCAGGUUUCCUGUAGUUUAUAGCCAAUGUUACAAUAAAAAGCCGGUUUAUUUGAGCAUUGAGCAAUGCAUGCGUUUUAAGAAGCUGCAGAAUGUCCUGUGGAAGAAGCACUUUCUGGAAUGGAAACAAUAAUACCAGAAACACUUUAGGUGAAAUAAUGAGAGAGAGAGUGUACCUAUCCAAAUACAAAGCACGGUGAGGCAGCAGAGGUCUAAUAAUAACAAAAACUGGGCUUAGUAAAUUGUUCUUCAAUUUCACAUUGACUGUAACCACACUGGGCCUGCUUUUUUAUCAUUGUUCUCAUUAACUUCUGAAACAUCUGGUCUUCCUUUUCUCCCGUCUGGUGAAUAGAUAGUUAUUGUACAUGUCCUUUGAAUAUGACAACUGAUAGCCUAUAUCAUAUUAGUGGUGAAAUGGACAGAUGUAUCAUUACAAUAAACCUGGGCCUGUUUAGUAUAUUAUUUAUAUAUAUUAGUUACUUGCAGACUCUUCAGAUUAAAGGACGGCUUAAAAAGGCAGUGUACCAUCCCAUGUCAAAAUGCAGCAUGCAGAAGCAUGUCUACUUGAAGCAUAUGCUGAACUAUGAAUUUCUUCACAUGGGAUGGAAUACCCCAUUAGUAUUUCCAAGUGGGUUUCUGAAAAAACCUUAAUUAGCCGCAAGGUAGCUUCAAAAGUCAACGCUUUUGUAGCUCUUAACAGUUGCUGACUAUGAACAUUAUGAAAAACCAAUCCAUAUUGACUCAGAAGUGGUUGUAAAUGGUUGCUUCUUGGAGAAAAUGACAAAAAGCCAGGAUUGUGGCGUAAAUGAAUGGACGCAGCAUUGCAUUCAAGCCUUUAAUUUUUAAUCAGAUCUUGAGUGUUUGGGGGCUUUCAUACAUUGUUUUCUAACAUGCAGUAGACAACAUGAAGUAUGCAGACCAAGGGUGUAGCUUUAGUUUGGAUAUUGGGUAUUGGGGGGGGGGGUUGGUGGGGGGUGGGCUGAAAUAUGGAGGUCCAAAAAUUCCAUUAAAACUUAACAUAAAUAAAUAAAUGUUUAUGUAUUUAAUGUUGAUGUAGCCUAUUAAGAAAUAAAUAUUCAUUUAUUUCUUCACUUAUUAAUUUUUGUAUGUAUUUCCCUAUUUAUUUCCUUUAUCGUUUAUUUAUGUAUAUAUUUAUUUUGAUGUUUUAUUCCCAUGUUUUUCUUGAUUAAUUUAUUUCUGUAUAUAUUUAGUUCUGUAUGUCCUGCUUUUUUUUUGUUGGAAAAACAGCUGUGAAAUGAUCAUUUGAAUAUGGCUAUGGGAUAAAUACUAGGCUAUAUAUUAGUAGGUCUGGAUGUCAGAAAAUAUUGGUUGAAAUCUCAGAGCAGUCAAUGAGAAGUUGUUGAAAAUUAUGGAAAACUGAAAAAAAUAUUGAAUUAAAUUAAUUUAGUACAUCAUACGGAUCUCAUGUGUAGCAGUGGGAAAUGAAGGAAAAAACACGCACAACUGUAGCAACAGUAACAAGUGCUUGAAGUUUCAAAAAAUCAACAGGCAGUUUCCGGCUGGUAUUAACAGCCUGCGAGAGAAAUACAAUGAUAAACCACUGUAUUUCAAUCUUUUCAUUUGGUCCAAUAUGGAAAGCAUGAUUUUUUGCCUUUAAUUUAACUGAAUGGUGUUAGAAAUAAAAAAAGUAAACACAGUUA